rnacentral:rRNA from 1 species
CAGGCUUACACAUGCAGUCGAACGAUGAUUAUCUAGCUUGCUAGAUAUGAUUAGUGGCGGACGGGUGAGUAACAUUUAGGAAUCUGCCUAGUAGUGGGGGAUAGCUCGGGGAAACUCGAAUUAAUACCGCAUACGACCUACGGGUGAAAGGGGGCGCAAGCUCUUGCUAUUAGAUGAGCCUAAAUCAGAUUAGCUAGUUGGUGGGGUAAAGGCCCACCAAGGCGACGAUCUGUAACUGGUCUGAGAGGAUGAUCAGUCACACCGGAACUGAGACACGGUCCGGACUCCUACGGGAGGCAGCAGUGGGGAAUAUUGGACAAUGGGGGCAACCCUGAUCCAGCCAUGCCGCGUGUGUGAAGAAGGCCUUUUGGUUGUAAAGCACUUUAAGCAGGGAGGAGAGGCUAAUGGUUAAUACCCAUUAGAUUAGACGUUACCUGCAGAAUAAGCACCGGCUAACUCUGUGCCAGCAGCCGCGGUAAUACAGAGGGUGCGAGCGUUAAUCGGAAUUACUGGGCGUAAAGCGAGUGUAGGUGGCUCAUUAAGUCACAUGUGAAAUCCCCGGGCUUAACCUGGGAACUGCAUGUGAUACUGGUGGUGCUAGAAUAUGUGAGAGGGAAGUAGAAUUCCAGGUGUAGCGGUGAAAUGCGUAGAGAGAAUACCGAUGGCGAAGGCAGCUUCCUGGCAUAAUAUUGACACUGAGAUUCGAAAGGUGGGUACAGGAUUAGAUACCCUGGUAGUCCACGCCGUAAACGAUGUCUACUAGCCGUUGGGGUCCUUGAGACUUUAGUGGCGCAGUUAACGCGAUAAGUAGACCGCCUGGGGAGUACGGCCGCAAGGUUAAAACUCAAAUGAAUUGACGGGGGCCCGCACAAGCGGUGGAGCAUGUGGUUUAAUUCGAUGCAACGCGAAGAACCUUACCUGGUCUUGACAUAGUGAGAAUCCUGCAGAGAUGCGGGAGUGCCUUCGGGAAUUCACAUACAGGUGCUGCAUGGCUGUCGUCAGCUCGUGUCGUGAGAUGUUGGGUUAAGUCCCGCAACGAGCGCAACCCUUUUCCUUAUUUGCCAGCGGGUUAAGCCGGGAACUUUAAGGAUACUGCCAGUGACAAACUGGAGGAAGGCGGGGACGACGUCAAGUCAUCAUGGCCCUUACGACCAGGGCUACACACGUGCUACAAUGGUAGGUACAGAGGGUUGCUACACAGCGAUGUGAUGCUAAUCUCAAAAAGCCUAUCGUAGUCCGGAUUGGAGUCUGCAACUCGACUCCAUGAAGUCGGAAUCGCUAGUAAUCGCAGAUCAGAAUGCUGCGGUGAAUACGUUCCCGGGCCUUGUACACACCGCCCGUCACACCAUGGGAGUCUAUUGCACCAGAAGUAGGUAGCCUAACGCAAGAGGGCGCUACCACGGGUCG